rnacentral:rRNA from 1 species
GAUGAACGCUAGCUACAGGCUUAACACAUGCAAGUCGAGGGGAAACGAUAUUGGAAGCUUGCUUCUGAUAGGCGUCGACCGGCGCACGGGUGAGUAACGCGUAUCCAACCUGCCCAUCACUUGGGGAUAACCUUGCGAAAGUAAGACUAAUACCCAAUGACGUCUCUAGAAGACAUCUGAAGGAGAUUAAAGAUUUAUCGGUGAUGGAUGGGGAUGCGUCUGAUUAGCUUGUUGGCGGGGUAACGGCCCACCAAGGCGACGAUCAGUAGGGGUUCUGAGAGGAAGGUCCCCCACAUUGGAACUGAGACACGGUCCAAACUCCUACGGGAGGCAGCAGUGAGGAAUAUUGGUCAAUGGACGAGAGUCUGAACCAGCCAAGUAGCGUGCAGGAUGACGGCCCUAUGGGUUGUAAACUGCUUUUAUAAGGGAAUAAAGUGAGUCUCGUGAGACUUUUUGCAUGUACCUUAUGAAUAAGGACCGGCUAAUUCCGUGCCAG